rfam:Pseudobutyrivibrio ruminis strain ACV-9 genome assembly, contig: IE77DRAFT_scaffold00007.7
UAAUGCAUAAAGUUGUUGCCGAAGACAGCAGGUGGCGUUAGCCGUAAAGAUUUUAUCUACCAGCCGAGGACGAUUAAGUAUUUAUCGAUUAAUCACCCUCUAUGUCUUUGACAUAGAGGGUUUUACUUUAUCCUC